GUCAGCACUGACUCCCAGAAGAUGAGGAAUGUGCUGGGGAAGUGCUAGACUGGAUUUUUGGAUCUCUUGGUUCAUGGAGGAACAGAAGAAGCUUGGCAUGAAGAUGAAAAGCCAACAACAGCAGCAGCAUCCCAGAGGUUGUGAUCACACAGGCAGACGAGGGACAAGACCUGUGUAGUGAGGGAGAAGAGGAG
rnacentral:lncRNA from 12 species